AUUGUGACUUGGAUGAAGAGUGAACUUGUCUCAUUGGCACUCAUAAACAUCUUCUUAUUUAUAUUCUUAAAGUUUCUAUUGUUGAAUAAACUUGUUCAUUGUUAUGUAUUAGCUAAUAUAUGAAAAGGUGAAACUGGGGUUUCUGAACCUACUGGCAUACGUGACAACAGUUUGAUGCCUGCCACACCUUCGAGCCAAUCUUUAGGCAAGGCCAUUUUUGAUAUUCGGGAGGGGGGGUUGAAAACCAAUAUUUGGGCCUGAUAAUUAAUUAAACUGAUUAAUUAGCUCAAGGCAGGUGGAAAAUAAAAAAAAUACAGGUAGCUAUGCAAAAAAUGAAGAAGAAAAAAUUAUGCACCCAACCUUUCUCGGGACACUCCAGCUUUCUUCUCCAAUUAAUACUGACAUCCACAAAAUAUUCCAAGCGUGUACACAGGGGCUCGGUUAGCAGAAAUAUUUUUUGUUAUCAAUAAGAAUGAAGAAUGAAAACGGAAAGUGUCAAAGAGACAACUCGACCAAAAUUUACAAAACAACUCAAGGCCACCAAUGGGUCAUAAACAUAGCGAAAAAUCCCGUACCAAGUGUACAGUAGGGCUUGAUGGGCAUUUUUUUUAUAUCAGGAUUAUUUGUAUUAACACAUUUCACUUUUCCCGAAUGUGACCUACCGAAUUAUUACCAGUGUUGUACUAACAUGAGCAAAACUACGGGUGUCAAAUAUGGAGCAGGUUCUGUUUACCCAACGAGCACCUAAUAUAAAAAAGAAGAUUUAGUGUAAUUGCCAAUGAGACAACUCUUCACAAGAGACCAAAUGACACAGAAAUUAACAACUAUAGUCACGUACGGCCUUGAACAAUGAGCCAAUCCCAUACCGCAUAGUCAGCUAUAAAGGCCCGAAAUGACAAAUGUAAAACAAUUCAAACGAGAAAACUAACGGCCUUUUUAAUGUAAAAAUAAAUGAACGAAAAACAAAUAUAUAACACAGCAACCAACGACAUCCACUGAAUUACCUAAGAUCACCAAUUUUUUUUUG
rnacentral:lncRNA from 1 species